rnacentral:rRNA from 1 species
UGGGGAAUAUUGCACAAUGGGCGAAAGCCUGAUGCAGCAACGCCGCGUGAGUGAUGAAGGCCUUCGGGUUGUAAAGCUCUGUCUUUUGGGACGAUAAUGACGGUACCAAAGGAGGAAGCCACGGCUAACUACGUGCCAGCAGCCGCGGUAAUACGUAGGUGGCAAGCGUUGUCCGGAUUUACUGGGCGUAAAGGAUGCGUAGGCGGAUUUUUAAGUGAGAUGUGAAAACCCUAAGCUUAACUUGGGGACUGCAUUUCAUACUGGAAAUCUAGAGUGCGGGAGAGGAGAAUGGAAUUCCUAGUGUAGCGGUGAAAUGCGUAGAGAUUAGGAAGAACACCAGUGGCGAAGGCGAUUCUCUGGACCGUAACUGACGCUGAGGCAUGAAAAGCGUGGGUAGCAAAACAGGAUUAGAUACCCUGGUAGUCCACGCCGUAAACGAUGAGUACUAGGUGUAGGAGGUAUCGACCCCUUCUGUGCCGCAGUUAACACAAUAAGUACUCCGCCUGGGAAGUACGAUCGCAAGAUUAAAACUCAAAGGAAUUGACGGGGUCAUAGCUGUUUCCU